AGAUGCUUUGGUGGAAGCUUUGUUCGUGAACUACUUGGCAAGCUCUAGCAGCGGGUUGCUAGAAGACAUUGCAGAUACGGAGCAGUGGCGUUGCACCAGAUGCUCUGGAGACUGAAGAAACUGGACAGGACACCUGAAAGGAGAGGGAAAUGGGUGUAGAAGUUGGAUUUGUUUUUUCAGAGGUCAUGGAUAUACUGUCAAUUACAUUGUGUCCAUGGGCGCCUGUUUUUGCAUUUGUGAUGACUUUUUCUUACUUUUCUCAUCUGAAUUGUUUUUCCCAUUCAAUCAGCACUUUUGUGCCUUUGCCCUUGCCAAACGUCAAAGCUGGGUUAGCACCCAUCGGGCAUUGCACUUGAGGGAUUCGUGUCUUUGCUGUCAUCGACCCACAAUGCACACGGCCUGAGAAACAAACGCCCAGCAGUCAAAACACAGGACAGUAGGGUGGGGGCUGUGAUGACACUAGGAAGUAGCCUUCCUUUAGCCGUGGGAGGACCGUGGAAGGGUCUCUUCCUUCAUGCCAGCCAUGGGUCCUACAGGGAAACCUCCACCCCAAGACCUAAAAUGGCAUGCUCCAAAAUAAAGCCUAGACCUGUUAAGAUCUGCCCCAAUCAACAUGCCACAUGCUCUCCAAUUAUUGCCCAGAAAGUGAUGCGCCCAUCUGGGUGCCAGAUCCACUGGGCCGAUAUGUCUCCUCUUGGUCGUCGUCGCCGUCGGACCCGACCCCAGACCACAUCAAGGAGAGACACCGGGGAGUGGAGCAGAGAAAUAAAGAGAAUUGAUCUGAAUAAUCAUCAGCGGCGGGCAGCUCCCUCACAUGCUUCACUCUCAAUCGACUCCGGACGAGAUCUGCUUCCCAACUGGAAAUACAUACAAAGACUGACCGCAGAAGCUGAGCAACUUUUAGCUCAACAACAAAGGCCCAGAAAGCCAAUGUUCCUAGUUUUUGCAACCCUUACUUUAUUGGCUUUUCAAAUGAACCCUGCUUAUGCUACUAACUAUUGGGCUUUCUUCCCUAAUCCUCCCAAUUUUCAUCCUGUUACUUGGCAUGAGGACACUGUUAAGGUCUAUACUAAUGCGUCUUCCAUCCUUGGGGGCCCUAGUGUUCUUGAUCCUAGAGUUUUUGUCACUGCGUUUAAUAAAAAUUUUACUCAUACCAGCA